GUGGGGAAUAUUGGACAAUGGGCGCAAGCCUGAUGCAGCCAUGCCGCGUGUGUGAAGAAGGCCUUCGGGUUGUAAAGCACUUUCAGCGGGGAGGAAGGCGUUAAGGUUAAUAACCUUGGCGAUUGACGUUACCCGCAGAAGAAGCACCGGCUAACUCCGUGCCAGCAGCCGCGGUAAUACGGAGGGUGCAAGCGUUAAUCGGAAUUACUGGGCGUAAAGCGCACGCAGGCGGUCUGUCAAGUCGGAUGUGAAAUCCCCGGGCUCAACCUGGGAACUGCAUUCGAAACUGGCAGGCUAGAGUCUUGUAGAGGGGGGUAGAAUUCCAGGUGUAGCGGUGAAAUGCGUAGAGAUCUGGAGGAAUACCGGUGGCGAAGGCGGCCCCCUGGACAAAGACUGACGCUCAGGUGCGAAAGCGUGGGGAGCAAACAGGAUUAGAAACCCCAGUAGUCC
rnacentral:rRNA from 1 species